AUUGAACGCUGGCGGCAGGCCUAACACAUGCAAGUCGAGCGAGUGGCGGACGGGUGAGUAAUGUCUGGGUAUCUGCCCUAUGGAGGGGGAUAACUACUGGAAACGGUGGCUAAUACCGCAUACUAUCGGAUGAACCCAUAUGGGAUUAGCUAGUAGGUGGGGUAAAGGCUCACCUAGGCGACGAUCUCUAGCUGGUCUGAGAGGAUGAUCAGCCACACUGGGACUGAGACACGGUCCAGACGCCUACGGGAGGCAGCAGUGGGGAAUAUUGCACAAUGGGCGCAAGCCUGAUGCAGCCAUGCCGCGUGAAUGAAGAAGGCCUUCGGGUUGUAAAGUACUUUCAGCGGGGAGGCGUUACCCGAAGAAGAAGCACCGGCUAACUACGUGCCAGCAGCCGCGGUAAUUC
rnacentral:rRNA from 1 species